UCUUGCGACGGCUCAGGUAACACCCUGAGUUGGCAUGGUCAAUCUGGUUUACCUCACUCCAGUUUUAUUCAACAAGUUUGAACAACAUCCUCCCAGUUGUGUAGAGUAGAUAGGCUACUUAAGAUAGACGUACAGACGGACGCGUGAAAUUAGCUUUGAAACUAUCCAACGGCUGCUGCGUUGACAGUGGCAAUAUCUUCGAUGGGCGUGUACGGAAAAAGUUCAUUAGCAAUCAAGUCAGUGCUACGGGAGCAACAAAAGCGCACUCAGUUGACAGCUCAAAUAACGAUCAGUGGCAAUGAAUGGUACCAAUCGGAACGGACCUGAGAAGCCAACGACGGUUGCAUUCGACUUGAAAGCGCAGCGGAAGCUUGAAAAAUUACAAGCUAAACGUGCAGCAGCCGAAGAAUUCAAAAGGAAGAACAUCCGAGAUCAUUUGAAGAGAGAACAACAUUUCUCGCAGCAGACUGAGAAACGUGUGUUUGCACAAUGGGAACAAAUGUGCUCUGGUGUGCAGUACCAGAGCGUGUGGGAGGACAUGCUUCAGAUUAAACAGUACAUGCAACCACUUUUGGACAGAAAGAAUUGCUGCAUCGAGCGGCUGCUGGAAAGCCGAGCGGAAAUGGAAGAUAUUUAUAUGAGAAAUUUGCAGCGCCUGAAGAGAUUAAUUUACUAUUAUACAGACAUUUUUACCCACUUCAAAGAAAAUCUGUCAAUGCAAUACCGAGCGGACUGCCAAAAACGUUUAGAUGAAUUUCGUCGUGAUAUUGCACUAAAAAAGAAUCACGAAAAUGAAUGUACUCAGCAAAUGGAAGGAGCUCUAAUAUCGCUGGAGGAAGUGAUGAAACAAGAUAAAAUAGAUGACCGUGUCGAUUUUAUCAAAAAGAAUGAUGAUACUCUCAAUACUCAUAUCGAAAAGCGCGAUCGCCUGCGAGAUAAAAAGUGCGAACAGUUAGAGCACCUUCAUGAGAAAUUAAAAUCUGUAGUGAAAGAAUACUUGACGGUUACAUUGCAUCCGGAGAAAGCUAAGGCUUAUUUCGAUUUGUACGGCAAAGAUGAAGCCUUUCGGCAAUUGAUUACAGACAACAGAGAUAAAAUUCAGCAAUCGUGUGAAAAGAUAAGGCAUUUGAAUAGAAAGCUCCUCGAGGUGGAAAUAGCUGGCAAUCGUAAGAUAAUAGCCAAGCGAUUUGAGAAACGUAAUCUCGAGAAUGAGCUUAACCGUCAGAAGCGGACAUUGGCUAAACUAGAUUCGGUCCAUAAGGAGCGUUUGAAGGAGCUUUCCUACGAAGUAUUCAACGUACAAAACCACCUGAAGCGAUUAUUCGAACGAGGUAAACUUAUUUUGAGUUUGGCUCGAAACUGCGCCAAACUUGAGUGCGAUGAUGAUAAACGAUAUUUUGAAAAACGCGUUGAACAAGGUCAUAUCGCUAACGGUUGCCCUACUGAGUAUGAAUUUCUAUUCGAUAAAAUCAAUCGCGUGGAAGCGAUCAACAUACUACUAGCUGCGGAAAGAGAUCAGCUGUUGCAGACCAACCGUGAGCUGCAGCAAAAAUUCAAAGACUUCUGUAAGCUGAACAAGCCGGAAGAUGAUUGCGCCAGCUUGCAGCUAGUUGGUAAAAGUGUUUCUCCACGCUAAUAAUCGAACUAUAUGAUUCGAUUGGACAUGUGUUCUUAUGUAUUUUGGUUACCAAUGCUCACAAAUUUACGUUGUAGUUUUGUAACGAUCAGUUAAUAGUUCCAUAUCGAAAUUUACAUCGAUUCUUCACUGUUACUGAGUCUUAGUAUAAUUAUUCGUGUUUGUUUUUUGUUCUGUCGCUUCAACUGACCAAGGUUGAAGUUCACCUGAACCCCAGAACCAAUAAAUCAGUGUUCCAAUUAUGUAAAUCCCGGCUGUUAUGUAAAAUACCAAGCGCCAUUCAUCUUCACCAUUGUUGGUCGUUAUGUAACCGUUUACAAUCGGACUUAUUACUCCGGCAAUCGUUGCAAAACCAUUGCUGAUUCCCAUUAAAACACCGGCACUUCUAGGGGAGAGAUCCAGUGGAUUCACCAAGUAUCCAUUCCAAGCGACUCCUCCAAAUCCUACAGCUGUCGUUAUACAGACAAUGGUAGGCGCAGGUCUUAGGAUCCAAGCACCGAUCAUCAUACAGAUCAAUUGCACCGUAAAACCUCCACAGGUAAAAUACUUCCGUACCUGUGUAGUUGUAAGAUAUCCACGAAUUUGAAGCCAAUCGGCUACAUAACCAGCGCAACUCAGAAGAAUACCCAUAAGCAGAUAAGGAAGAGCUGAAAUGAAACCGGAUGCUUGCAGGUCAAAACCGAGAACACCUUAAACAAAAACAUAUAGCGAUUAGUGUAACUUGUUGGAAUCCACAUUGGAACUGGGUACUUUUUAGGAACGUCGGUAGGCCGGUCAACAGCGUGUAGUAACCCCAAUCUUCAGUGAAGCUAGCAAUCGACAUAGAAAUAACUGCUUUCGAGCCACAUACCAAAUGCAUGCGACAACGCCGAAGAAGUAAAAGACACUUUCCCAUCCCCAGGUGCUAACGAGCAUACCACUUAUUGGAAGCACUAAAACAGUUCCCGCGAACGCACCGGUACAGGCAAUCGAAGCCAUUCGUGAUCGUUCGCUAGGUGGUGCCCAUCGAGACCAGAAAGCAUGACUGCAAGGAAACGUUACACCUUCCAAGAAACCUUCCAGAACUCGAAUCGCUAUCAGCCAGCCAACGCCCAAUUGGGCUGCCAUUGGAGUCAGUAAUGUAAGUAUCGCGGUUCCACCAAUGCCUACCCCAAAAACCUACGGAUAGGUUCAAUGUUGGAUUUAAUCACACUUAGUAGGGCCGCUUACAUUUGUACCGCCUAGUUUGUUUGACAAGUAACCUCCCAGUACUUGGGUAAAUACAUAACCGUAAAAGAAAGAACUUAGAAUGUAUCCCUGUAAGCUGGAACUCCAUUCGAAAGUUUGUUCCUAAAAAUGGUUUGUUUUGUAGCGUAAUGAUUUCGAUUUUAUCUGUACUCACCUGUACUAUGGUUCCAUUUUCAUACACGACUUCCCGAAGCUCGGUCAUAGCCACAAUGGCAACACUUAAAUUUACUCGUAAUGUGUACACAUUUGCAAACCCCAAAAAUGCCAUAAACACCACUACAUAGCGUCGACGUUUCCAAAACAU